UUUCAGUUUAUGUAGGUAUACUCCAGAAUACUCACGCAAUGAGGGAAUUGCCUGACAGUGCAUUUCUCAGAACAUAUCCCUAUUGGAAUGAGAAAGAGAACCUGGGCCCAGAAAGGAGCAAGAGUGAACCAAUGAACAGCUGAGAGGGCAACAGAAGCUGAAAAGGGCGUGUGUGGAAUUCAGAGAAAUCAAACGAACCCACUGAGGCAAGAGGCAGCCUUGGUCAAGAGGAAAAGCUGCUGUGUGCAGGAACUCUGCAGUGGAGAGAGUCGGGAUUCAGCUGUGGGAGGCAGCACACUUCCCAGUGAAAACAGUGGUUCUAGCUCACUGAAUCACGCUCAGUCAUUACUGCCCAGCAGAGAGGUCCUCUCUCUCUUAAACCUCCACAUGUGGAAUGCUGUCUUCACAGGAACCAGGCAAGAGAGAGGAACACAUUUAACAAAAUUUUGAUUUAUCAGACAACAACAGAUUGUGAUAUUAUAUAUACACAAAGGCCAAAGUUUUCUCUUUCCAUACCCCUCCCCUUAAGAACAAUAUCAUAUUAGUUAUAGAAAAGAAGGAGACUACAUUGGUGUUAUACAUCAGAGUGCAGCAUAUGAAUGUGUAACCCUCAGUUGGAGACUUAAAUCUUAGUGGCUUCAUUUACUAGUAUGUGAUCACAAGUAAUAACUAAAUUCUUUUAACACUAUUUCUCUUAAAAUAGAAAUUAGAUCUCCUAAAAUAGGAAAAAAAA